UGGUCCUUAUUGAUAAUGGUUCUUAUUGAUAAUGGUCCUUAAGACUCACUGAGUGCUAUCUGUGGGCCAAGCACUGUGAAAGCUUUCAUUCAUAAAAUCAAUGCAUCGUGACUGCCAGGCCGGGCAGUUACCAUUCAAGCUAUCUUAUUUUAGACAGAGAGGGAGAGGCUCAAGGUCACACAGCUAAUAGAUGACAAGUCCAGGACUCAAACCCUUGAAGCAGACCAGAGCAGGACAGAGACCCUCCUCUUGUCAUGUGAAAGCUAGGGAAGAGGUCACCAUCACUGUCUCACCCUGCUGAGUUCUCUGCCAAACGGAACACAGGUUAUCAGUUGGCACCAUGACCAGCCUCAUUUUAACCGAGGCUCUGAGAGGUGACAGACCUGGCCAGAGUCUCGUGGCUGACUCUCUGGGAUAGAGUGAUGCCCUUCUGCUGUGUGCUGUGGGCCCCGUGGACAGGAAGGAUGACUAGGGUGACUAUCUAUCUUGGCAGCUCUAGAGAGGCUCCUGUGCCAGGAUGGAGGAGAGAAGAGCAAGCAACUUGGAGCCUGGCUCUCCGGAUACGCCGGGCUCUGUCACCAGCCCUCCCUCCAGGGUGCUUCAGGCAAGUAUCACCUAAGACCGGGUACACUGCAGCCAAAAUGGAGGAUUCUGGCAGGUGUGUGUGUAUGGGGGCCAUUGGGAGAGAUCUACAUGGUAUCUGAUGAUCCCCAGGGUCAUGUCUCUCAGAGAACCUACAGGAGCCACAGCUGGUUUGAAUAUCCUCACUCUUCUUUGCUUUGGGCCUCAGUUCCCUUCUUAUCAAAAUAAUGAUUGGUUUUUGUUGGUUGGUUGGUUAGUUAGUUGGUAAGUUGGUUGGUUGGCUGGCUGAUUUAUUGGUUGGUUAGUUAGUUGGUUGGUUGAUUGGUUGGUUAGUUGGUUGGUUAGUUGACUGGGUGAUUGGUUGGUUGGUUGGUUAGUUGGUUGGUUAGUUGACUGGGUGAUUAGUUGGUUGUUUGGUUAGUUGAUUGGUUGGUUAGUUGGUUGGUUGGUUGGCUAGUUGGCUGACUGGUUGGUUGUUUGGUUGGUUAGUUGGUUGGUUAGUUGACUGGCUGAUAAGGUGGUUGUUUGGUUAGUUGAUGGGUUGGUUAGUUCGUUGGUUGGUUGGUUGGCUGGUUGGUUGGCUGGUUAGUUGGUUGGUUGGUCAGUUGGUUGGUUGGUUAGUUGGUUGGUUGGUUGGCUAGUUGGCUGACUGGUUGGUUGUUUGGUUGGUUAGUUGGUUGGUUAGUUGACUGGCUGAUAAGGUGGUUGUUUGGUUAGUUGAUGGGUUGGUUAGUUCGUUGGUUGGUUGGUUGGCUGGUUGGUUGGCUGGUUAGUUGGUUGGUUGGUCAGUUGGUUGGUUGGUUAGUUGGUUGGUUGGUUGGCUAGUUGACUGACUGGUUGGUUGUUUGGUUGGUUAGUUGGUUGGUUAGUUGACUGGCUGAUAAGGUGGUUGUUUGGUUAGUUGAUGGGUUGGUUAGUUCGUUGGUUGGUUGGCUGGUUGGUUGACUGGUUAGUUGGUUGGUUGGUUGGUUGAGACAGGGUCUCAGGUAGCACGGUCUAGCCUCAAGCUCACAAUGCAGCCAAGGAUGACCUUGGAUUUGUGGUCUUCCUGUUUACAUGUGCUGGGAUUCCCGGCACAUGCCACCAUGUCCAGCAGAUAUACUGAGGGGCCUUGAACCCAGGACUUCAUGUGUGUUGGUAAACACUCCACUGAUGGAGCCUCAUCCCCACUGGGUGUGCUUGCAGAAGACCUGAGUUUAGUUCCCAGCACCCACAUGGCGGCUGACAACCUGGGAACUCCAGUUCCCAGAGAUCUGACGCCCUCUUCUGGCCACUACAGGCACUGCACCCAUGAGCCACAAAUGCUAAUAAUAUAUUAAAACAAAAAUAAAUUUAAAAAAAAAUCACAGCCAGGUGGUGGUGACGCAUGCCUUUAAUCCCAGCAUUUGGAAGGCAGAGGCAGGUGGAUCUCUGUGAGUUUGAGGCCAGCCUGGUCUACAGAGUGAGGACUACUCAGAGAAACAUUGUCAAAAAAAAAAACCAAAACAAAACAAAAACAAAAAACAAAGGGGAAAAAAUCAAAUGCCAAGUCCUGUGAUGAACUUGAACAUGUUUUUUGAGGCAGCCGGUAGGGGAAGAACUUCUGUGGACCCCAAAUGCCAUCUCUUCGGUCACCCCCUACCUAGCCCUGCCCUCCCUCAAGGCAUCUUUCUAAAAUUCUAAUGUUCGAAGAAAGAAUCUGGAAGUGCAAGCUUUGCUCAUUCCUUCCAAGCGUUUUGUCAUGAAAAUGUUUAAACACACAGGGAAAUCAAAAGACAUUUACAAUGACCCUGGACCCUGCCAUUAAUAUUUUACUGCCUCCGCCUUCUCAAAUGAGGGUGCCUUGGAAGCUCAGGAAGUGAUGUGCCGGGGUGUGUGGUACUGACAACGCCGGCUACCUCUGUGGAUGGACCCCGUGGCUUCCAGACUUUACUGGAUCACUGGUGGGCACUUGGACAGCUUUCUUCCACCGUCAUUUAGGGAUGCGAGUGCCUUCUUUUGCCCCAUCCUGCCACACCCUGCUACCUGCCUUGAAGUAGACAGGAAAUAAGACAGAGAAGCCAGCUACCCCAUGCCCUGCGCUUACUCAAGGUCGCUGGCGGGAGGUGCUCACUUGGCCAUCCUAGAAAAGAAAUAGCUGAGCAGUGCUCCGGGUGGGCAUUCCACCCCGAGGGGCCUGGUUUUCAGCAACCAGUUUGCUGUCUCUGCCCACAUCCGCUGUGGUUGGGUCCCCUAACGUACCACGCCCCUCCCCGUGUCCAAUCAGAAGGGGAACUGGCCGGCUGUCCUGAGGAGUUUAACAUUGUUCUACAUACAUGUGUUGAGUGCUUACUGUAUACCUGGGCUGCACCCCGAAGUGGAUCUGAACACUUCAGAGAAAAGGAAAAUGGUGAGCUUCUUUCUUAAGUUCACCCUUUCAAACGGAAAGCGGUGAGAUUUCCUAGCUUGCAAAAGUGGGCGGAGCUAAGAUUAGAAAACUGGGAAAAGGGUCAGUAGGUCAUCUCAAACUGAUUUUGUUUUCUUAAGAAUUAUGUUUAAUUGUGAGUGUGUGUUUGUGGGGGGGAGGGUGUAGGUAGGUGUUAGAUCCACUCAGGUUAGGGUUAAAGGCAGUCGCAAGCUUCCGGGCGUGGGUGGCUAGAAAUGAACACAGACCUUCUAUAAGAGCAGUGUGUGCUCCUAACCACUAAGCCAUCUCUUCAACCCUGUUUGCUUUUUGUUUUUGUUUUAUUCCCCAGAGUCAGGGUCUCAUAGUGUAAACCGUGCUGGCCUGGAAAUCAUGAUCCUCCUGCCUCAGUUUCCUGGGUGCUGAGAUUACACAUGUGCCCAUGUCCAGCUUUGAAAACUUUGUAUUGGCACCUUCUGUGGGUCUAGCCCAAUCCCAAAGCUCUUGCAAGAGCCUUCUACUAGAUUUAAUGAUGUCACCGCCCACAGUGAUUUCGAGGUUCCCUACGUUCACACAGGCAAUGGCUGAGCUGAGACCUGAGUGCUAACAUUGCUCCUCACUCCUAGGGUUCUGCCCUCCUCUUUCUUAUGAGCCCCCUUGAGGCUGACACUGGGUUUUGUUUUUAUGUAAUUGUUUGCCUACGUAGGUCUCAGCAGUACGCUGCCUACAUGCGUCUGCGCAGUACGUACUCAUGCCCCUGCGGCUCACAAAAGCCAGGAGAGGCAGUCAGAUCCUCUAGAACUGGAGCUACGGACAGUUGUGAGCUGCCACAUGGGUGCUGGGAAUUGAACCAGGUCCUCUGGAGGAGCAGCGAGCUUUUAACUGCCAAGCCAUCACAACAGCCCCUCUGACCACUUUAUAUAUGCAUCCUUUGGAUUUUUUUCCCCACGGGACUCUAGCUUCGUGAGAACAGAAGGCUAAGCAGAGGCUCGGAGAAAUGGAGUGACUGACCCAAGAUCAAACAGCAAGUUUGGGCUCACAUCCUGGUUUGUCAGACUCCCAGUAGAAUACAGGUUGGUGUCGGUGGUUUUUACGGCCUGGCACCAACGCAGUAGAAAUGUUUUCAGGGUGACAGAAGGCCUUCUCCCUUAACCGGACACACACACCACAUUUUAAAGCAAUAGAAAGUGUCUCUGAACAAUAAUGGUUUACCAAACAGCUUAGCAGAGCCCCUCACAACUGGAGCCCAGCCAGAGAGGGGCAAGGGAGGGAGGCUCUCGGGAGUACUCUGGGUCUGAGCCCUGAGUUGGGGUUCCCCCGCAGGGACUGGGCAGGAAGGGACUGGCCUAUCGACAACGGGAACAGCGAAAGGUCCAAUCAAUGCUAUCUCUCCGGGCCAUGCCUGGCCAGACAUUGAUUUCUAACACUGUUGUUAACUCCCUGUUUAUGUAACGCCUGAACUUUGCACAACCGAACAUUUAAUGUGCAGAGAGGGCCCGUUGCCAUGAAAACCAAGCUCCACGGACAGCCGGGACGCGGCCCUAUCCCUGUUUUAUUGGCCUGCACAGAAUGUAUUUUAACCUUGAUAAGUCAAUAACUUUUUAUACAAAAGGAAAUCUGCCAGGAGGGCUUAGGACCCACUGGCCUCUCCCGGUCAGAGGGGAGGCACAGCAGCUGGCUUUAAUCCCUUGAAAAUCUCUCUGCCACUCACAGGCCUAGCCUGCAGACACCAGCGCCUAGCUGGGGGGUUGGGGCAGGGACCACCCUCACUUCCAGCCUCUCUCUGGUAACUGAAGCCUCCUGCAAAGUUGGAAAGGCUGAUUGGAAAGAGAAACCCAGGGAUGCUCAAAUUCCAGCUCCACCUUUCCAUGACCUUGAGCAAGGCCAAGGUCACCAAAAUCCACACCUGUAACCCAACCAGUGGGUUUUCUCCAUGACUUGUGCCAGGUUUACAGAUUAAAAAAAAAAAAAAAUCAGAAGUAUGGGGGUGGGGGAGUGGCUGGUCACAGCGACCCCAAUCGGCAGGGAAUGUCAUUGUCACGUGUAUUUUACAAUAAGACCUGUGCCCGUUUGUUCUUCUCAUUAUUGUCUUGGGAUGGGCCAAGGCUGAGGGCAAUACCCCCAAUUUCCAGCUGUGCAAACUGAGGCCCAGGGAAAUUGGCUAUCUCAUACAGGAAUCUACAAGAGGGUUGUUCUUCUAGACUUUUCAGUGCCAAGCCCUGUGCGCUUCCAAAUUCAGAAACUUAACCACAGGAAUAACACACACACACACACACACACACACACACACACACACACCCCUUAGCUGCCAGUUCUUGGACUCAGCAGACAUCACUAGUCAAAGACAGCACAGCGCUUUACCUCCUGAGCCUGCCUCAGAACUCUCUUCAAGACAGAGCUGGGUUCCAAAUGGAACUGUAUGACUCCGAAGGGCUCUGUGUUCAAGUUCUACUCUGUCCCAAAUUUGCUGUGUGACCCUGGGCAGGUGCUUUCCCCUCUCUGGAAGUGAACCAUGGUGAUGUAAUAUGGGAACACUCCAGGCUCUGGGAUUCCCAGAGAGUUCUCGCAUCUGGAAGGAACCCCCCAUGAAACCUGACUUCUAACUCUGCCCUCUUCUCAGAGCCCCUGAGCCUUUUCCAACUCCAGCAAAUACUGACCCAGGGCAUCUGGAUGAGGCAAACAAUGAACAAGGCCACCCGCAGGGGCUCUGACAGAUGAUUGCUGGGUAGGGAAGGCAACUGCUGACAGGGAAUAUCUUGGUUUCUUUUCUGUUGUGAUUGACAAACGCAACCUGGUUCCACUCCAUCCAUUAGAAAGGAGAGAGAUAAGCUCUUGCUGGUGAGAACCCAGAUUGCUUCUACUCAUCUUAAUACAAUCCCAGAUCCCCUGUCCAGGGAAUGGUGACACCCACAGUGGGCACCUCUUCCCCCUCAACAUAAUCAAGGCAAUCCCCCAACAAACACAUCCGCAGGCCAACCUGAUCUCCUUCAUCCCUCCCCGAAACCCCUCUCCCUGGUGGUUAAGAUCCUAUCAAGGUGACAUCUAAAAGUAGCCAACGCAGCGGGUAGGAGAUGGUGUCUGGACAAGGAGGCAAAUGUUUGAGCUGGGGCUUGAACUACACUAAACCAGAGGUGCAAAGAGCCUCUUGGGGGGAGGUGGGGGAGGUGCAGACUCUGCCAAGCUGAGUGGGCAAAGGUGUGGCAGACAGGAAAGAACCACAGGGGUGGGCUGUGGUGGGGGAUCAACUAGGAGUCCAUCCCUGAGGCAGCCUGAGCCUCUCUUCAUUACAGCCUGUAGUUUGCCCUGGUCUCUACCCCAUCCCUUCUGCCUGCCCACCCCCCUCCCCAAGAUGCUCCAUGUCCUGGGGGGUGGGGCAGGUGAGUGACAAGGUUACCAGGGUUCCCUCCCUCCCCUUUUCUCCCCGAGAAGCAUAAAGAGCUCUUUCUUUUCUGCUUAUUAAUAGCUCUGAUUAAAUUAUCUCUGAAAAACCUACAUGGUGUGCACCAAUGGGGGCUCGGCUCCCUCCCGGCUCUGGCCUAGAUUAGAACAACCAGGCCAGGUAAGGCGACUGGGGGAGGUGGGGUGGGAGGCUGAGGCCGCCUGCUCCCCUGCCAGCACCCAGGCUCCGUGUUGAACGCUCAGCCCUGGCCCAGCCUCUGACUCACUGGACCUUUCUGAGCUCCCCAAAUGGAAAGCAAGCAGGGAGGGCGAGGUCUUUGCAUCAGCCUCCUGUCCCCUGCCAAGGCCCCCUCACCUUUCCCUUCAGCUAUGUAUCCCCCAGGGCUCACAGGGGUCCAUCAGUGGCCAGCAGGGUGUCACUGGGGGCAGCACCUGCUGCAGGUGCUCCUUCUUCCCAGGGUACCCUGCAUCAACCCUGUUUGCUCCUGUCUGUCACAGGGGAUCCUCCUGGUUCCCUGGGACAGUUGUUAGAAUUCGCUGAAUAUGUGAAGGAGCCUCAAGCAAUGGAAGAGACAACCCCCCCCUUCCCGUAAUGAGAGCAGAACUAACCUCACACAUCAUGAAUUUCACCUCACAAGGGGGGGGUGCUGAGGCACAGAGGAACUGGAUCACAUGGAGGCACACCCCUCAUCAGUCUGUUUCCACUCCCCCCUCUUCACGUUCAUCCUCUAUCAGAAAAUAGAGCCCCCCUUUAAUCCCAGCAGCUGUAGGGGGCAGGGGUAGAGAGACAGGUAGAUCCUUGAGAGUUCAGGGCUAACCUGGUCUGAAUUUAGGAGUCCCAGGCCUGCCAGAAUUCACAUUGACCUUGUCUGGAAAAAGGGGGGUGGGGUGGGAAAUAGAUUUCACAUUUUUCAGGAGAGGAGGUAGACGGUUUGCUUUAUGAGCAGCCUGGGCUAGAUAGCAAAAACUAUGUAAAAGAAAAAAGAAAAAAAAAAUCUGAACCACCUCAUUCAUUAAUAAGACGGUGCCAGGACCUGUGCCAGGGAGCCGUGGAGCGCCUCAAGCUUAGGGAAACAGACGACUAUCAGAUUAGACAUAGCACGAGGUUCCCAGGCCUUGCUUCAUGGUAAGUGGGAGUCUGGGUGGCUUCCCAGAGGAGGAGACUUACUACCUGCAAUCUGAAGGAGGAACAAGAGUUGACUACCUGGAGGGAGGUCCCUCUAGGUAAAGGGGACAGCACGUGCAAAGGCCCUGGGGUGGUAAGAGGAUGUGCAUGCACUUCAGCAAGACUGGUAUGUAGGGUCUUGUAGGGAUGGUGGUGGUGGUGGGGUGAGGUAACUCCUAGUCCCCAGUGUUCAGGAGCUGGCUGGCCUGGAGGUAACCAAGGGCUGUGACAAAGGAAUUUUAGCAUAGUCUCUAACCAGAUCAUGUUAGUAUUGGACAGAAUGUUGAGCAAAAGCCAGGACUAUGAGGGAGGGUGGUUGUGAAUGUGUGAAGUGGAAACUUACGUUUUUUUGUUUGUUUGUUUGUUUUUUGGAAAGUCAUUUGGAUGGUGUUUUGCUGGGGCAAACAUAUGAGGGAACGUUUCGUUGAAGCGGACACAGGUGUGAAAGGCUAAGGCAGACUCGUGAAGGAACGUUUCGUGGAAGCAGACACAGGAGAGGGGAUGUUCUGCUGAAGCAAGCACAUGAAAGAACACAUGAUGGAUUCUUCAGUAACAGCACAGAGGCACAGCCAAGAACUUUUCCUGGUCCCUUCUUGUCUCUCCUGCUGACUUGGGCAGAGGCUGAGGCCUGGCUGUGUCUGCUAGGUCUGCUAACCCAACUCUACCCAACUGGACUGCUGCUAUAUCCGUGAAGUGUUUGCGAGUGGACCCAGCUGCCGCUGCUGACCUGGGAACUGAACCGCUGAUUUCCAGACAACACAGACAGGAGUUGUUCCAAAGAACCUUUCUCAACAGGUCCCCUUCCCUCGUAUCCUUUCUUUUCUACUACCUCUGGUGGCUGGUGGGCUACAAGGGAGGUGAAAGCAUUUAAGAACAGUCAUUAAAAAUAAGGCUUGAAAUAAA